GAAUGGCUUAUUGAGUCCCUUGAAUUUCCACCUCAGCUAAGUCAGAAUUUAAAGUGCAGAAUAGUUAUAUUGUAAACAUUUGACAGUAUACACACUCUGUGUGUGUGUGUGUGUAAGUAUAACUAUCUACACGUACACACAUACAAACAUCUGCUGAUGCUUACUGUUGUCAGAUGAUUACAGUUUGUGCCUGUAUGAGAUGAACUGUCGGAAACCUAACAAGAGUUAGAUAAAACGUGGAUCCAAUGAUGAAUGCAAAGUAUUGCUGAUUGAUGCCUGAUAACCAUAAGUGGUGAAUGUGCUCUGCAGACACACUGCUUUGGACUUAGCCUGAAACAAGAUUCUGCUAAGAGAGUGAAAUCAUCAGAAUACAAUAGUUUCCAGGGGCAGAUGGUUUUAAACUCUUCUGUUAUGAAGGACAAUGAUGUAUAGGAAAGAGCUGAGAACUGAGCCCUAAUGUAUGACUGCCUGCACACUAAAUUUAUUACAGUACUGAUGGCUCUUACCUUACUGAUAGCAUUCAUGUACACAGCCGGAACAACUUCCACAAGCCAUUCCUCUAUUCAUAACAUCCUCAAAGACCACCAUAGCACAGAGCAAAAUACUCUGCUGAAAGCUUUCCCCAGGUCAACAAAUGCCAAGUACAAUGGUUUAUUCUGAGCUAAAUAAUUAUGCAGUUGCCUGACUUAAUCCAAUCACACACCAUGAGGUAAUCUUGAUUACCUUAUCCACUCACUUCUCUGCCACAAGUACACCUGCAUCACAUACCUCAUCACCACUCUCUACCCUGAAGAAUUUUCAUCUAUAUUCCUUGGCAAUGAGCAAUCUAGCUGAGGCUCUCUGCCAUCAAAUCUCUUGCACACAGCUACACUUCUCUACUCAAGAAUUUCAACAUUCUCACCAGAUGUAUGUAUGUGUGUAUGUGUGUAUGUGUGUAUGUGUGCAUGUAUGUAUGUAUGUAUGUAUGUAUGUAUGUAUGUGUGUGUGUAUGUAUGUGUGUAUGUAUGUAUGUGUGUAUGUAUGUGCAUAUGUGUUUG